CUCUGCUGACCAUGGCUGGUGGUUCAUGAUCCUCUGUGCUUCAGCCUCCAGCACACAGAGCAGCAUCUGCUGGGUGUGCCAGGAUGCAGCACGGCUAAAGGGAGGGCAGCUGCUCUGCCUCACACACAGCUCGUUUGUGCACCUUGGUUGAGUGCAAGUCCAGACCUGCCCUGACGUUCAUCCACCGGGCUGCCUCACAAGGCCACCGACUAUGAGACAGAGCCCUGAAGACAGAGCUGUGAUCAAACAGGAGGAACUGCAGAGUCAGGAGGAGGUGGACAGGAAGGCUGCAGUUUCCUGGCUUAGCAACAACUUCUCCAAGGGAUGUUGUCCGAGGCCAUGUGGUGCUGGGACCAGCCCCGGGUGCUGUGGAGGAGACCGGAGCUCCUGUGGCCACCGCAUGGCCUGGGUACACGGUGCUGAGCAAGUCCCACAGGGCUGCCUUAACUACAGCUCUGCACCACCGGUGGUGUGGGAAUCACCAUGAAGACAAAGCUGGGACUGAGCAUAAGGCUCAUGCCUUUUAUACAGCUCUGAUGGUGGAAAAAAAUCUGGUGGUUUCAGUUGCACGUCCCACUCCUGAGCAGGACUUGUGUGUUCUUGGUGACCAUUGCUGUGGUCAACAACCAAGUCUGUGUACUGAGAGCUGGUCACUUAAACAAGCUUCACCAGGACUUUGGGGACCAUCGAAAAUGUGGGCUGGCUGAUUCCUGGACAUCCCAGAGAAGCUGAGGAUGGGGACAUGCACUGAGACGCUGGAUGGGUAAGAUAUGGUGGUCUGAGAUUGUGUUAGGGCUUUAAAAUGUUGGGGUGUGUGGGGGGUUCCUUCUUACUGGUGGAGAGUAUCCUUUGGUGUGGGAGCAUUCAAAUGGUGGAUCACCAUGCUAAACCUGAAUCACGGCUCAGUUGUUCUUGCCCUCUUGUUGGAAGGAAAAGACAUUUUCCUGAUGGCAGCUAUUUCUUUUACUGCAUGCUACACCCAUUAGCUGCUAGACUGCCAGCACUGAUCUGAAACUGUUGCAGCCCUAACUGGGUUCUGGAACCACACCAUGCCUAGACAAUGUAUUCACCCCACCCCCUAAAUGAGGCGGUGUGGGUGAAAUUAAUUUCCCAUGCAUUUGGUGAAGUUGCAUUUGAUAUAUCUAGCCCAAGAAACAGAAGUAAUGUACUUAGAUUGCAAAAGGCAUCUCCUGCAUUUUUUUGCAAACAUACUCUCUGUAGUCUUAGUUUAGUAUUUUCCCUUUGCCUAGCUGAAGCUCAGUCUGCACCUUGAAUAAUACAUGUAAGUUUUUGAUUGACAUUCAGUCCUAAGCAUUUAGCUAUCUUGAUGUCUUGUCAAGUCAUCCUUUGAUAAAAGCAUUUCAGGUGCUGCAAAAUGUAAUCACUUCACUGCAGCAUUCUACUUUGCAGAUUCGAGAUUCUCUACAUAUAUUUCAGCUGAGGAUCUUGGCACUGUCAACAGAUCUGUUCCAUGGAUGAUUUUGGAUGGAUCUAUUAAUAUUGCCUCUAAGAGUAGUAAGUCCUGCUCCUUUACAAAGUGAAUCAUCUGUCUCUCCUGUGGACAAGUUAAGUUCUCCCUCACUGGACUUGUAGUCCACAAGUUGGCAGGGUUUCCUGUUUUGUUAAUAGUCUUCAAACAGCAGUAGAGUCAUUUCAAAAAAUGUUCAGCCCAGUUUUGGGGCCAAGUAUUAUGUCUUUCAGUUAUUUGUUCUUCUAGACAGGCCAUGUCACCAUUAGUCAUACUUCAGAAUGAUGGUUUGCUUUCAUUAUUCACUGACUGCACUGCUUCUGAUUCAGUGCUUUCCAAGUCAGCAAGAUUUUCCUGUGCUAAUUCAUCUGAAUCAUUUCUAGAAGAGUUUAUAUCAAAGGAUGCAUUCUCAAUGUUAAUAAAGUGCAGGGUUUUGAAACAGCUUGUAAUUCUGGUUCUUUAAAAAAUAAGCUUUUUAGAUGUGUUUCUGCUAUGUGUGUGAGCACAGUGUGUGUCAGUAAGGGGGGCUUAACAUGAUUGAUAGCCCUUUCCCUUUUUAUUUAUGUUCUGUUUGGGACAUCUAGCACACACAGCCAGGCUAAUGUGGGUCCAGAAUGAACACUGGCUCUACUGCAGCAAAACCAGCAGCCCCAGCAUGGUUUAGGAUGUGGCUCUCAGACACCACGACUCACAAGGCCCUUUAAACCUGGCCACCUUUCUUACCUUCACCGUUUUCUUGCCUGACCACUUCUUAUGUCAAACGAGGAUGACUGAGAUCUCCUGGAAGGUCUCAGUACUGUGGAUUAUUGGUAGGGCUCAAGUGAUUUGUGUGGUCUGAUGUGGGCCCAUCUACUCCUGUGUUUGUUUAAUGCGAACAUACAGUGAACCCACACAUUUAUAUGGUACACAUCUGGCUCUACACACCUGUGUCAUUGGUUGCAUUUCUGAAUGGGUGUUUGUUCACUCGAGGAUUCCUUGGUUUGAUUGCUGUUCCUGACCUCCUCCCACAAACACGAGUCUAUCGUCUUUCAUGUACUCUUACAUUCCUGGUUGUCAGUCUGCCCAUAGCAGCAAUGCAUUGCGAAAGAACAAAAGAGCAGAAAGAGAUAGUUAGGCAGAAACGUAGCUAUCCAGACCAUCUGCUGUGCCCCACUUCACUGAAGCCAUCUCAGAACCUAAGGAAACAAAACCAAAACAAUGGACCCUUUGUAACUC